GCUCUGGCUUCCAGUCCAAAAAUGUUUACCUUUAUGGUAAAAUUGAUAUGCAGCUUAAACUUGUUCCCGGAAACUCUGCUGGCACCGUCACUACUUACUAUCUUAAAUCCGAAGGCUCAACGUGGGAUGAAAUAGACUUUGAAUUCUUGGGAAACCUCAGCGGUGAUCCUUAUACUCUUCAUACCAAUGUUUAUACAAAAGGCAAAGGCGACCGAGAGCAACAAUUCCACCUCUGGUUUGAUCCCACUUCCGAUUUCCACACCUAUUCAAUCCUCUGGAAUCCGCAGGGGAUCAUAUUCUCGGUGGACGGGACGCCCAUAAGAGAAUUCAAGAACCA
rnacentral:misc_RNA from 1 species